rnacentral:rRNA from 1 species
GACGAACGCUGGCGGCGUGCUUAACACAUGCAAGUCGAACGGAAAGGCCCUGGUUUUGUGGGGUGCUCGAGUGGCGAACGGGUGAGUAACACGUGAGUAACCUGCCCUUGACUUUGGGAUAACUUCAGGAAACUGGGGCUAAUACCGGAUAGGAGCUCCUGCUGCAUGGUGGGGGUUGGAAAGGUUCGGCGGCUGGGGAUGGACACGCGGCUUAUCAGCUUGUUGGUGGGGUAGUGGCUUACCAAGGCUUUGACGGGUAGCCGGCCUGAGAGGGUGACCGGGCACAUUGGGACGAGAAUACGGCCCAGACUCGUACGGGGGACAAUUGUGGGGAAUAUUGAACAAUGAGCGGAAACCGGAGGCAGCAACGCCGCGUGCGUGAUGACGGAAUUCGGGUUGUAAACCGCAUUCGACUCUGACGAAGCGUACGUGACGGUAACGGAUAAAGAAGCACCGGCUAACUACGUG